CCUACGGGGGGCAGCAGUGGGGAAUAUUGCACAAUGGGGGAAACCCUGAUGCAGCGACGCCGCGUGAGUGAAGAAGUAUCUCGGUACGUAAAGCUCUAUCAGCAGGGAAUAAAAUGACGGUACCUGACUAAGAAGCCCCGGCGAACUACGUGCCAGCAGCCGCGGUAAUACGUAGGGGGCAAGCGUUAUCCGGAUGUACUGGGUGUAAAGGGAGCGUAGACGGCAGGACAAGUCUGGAGUGAAAUCCCGGGGCUUAACCCCGGAACUGCUUUGGAAACUGUGCGGCUGGAGUGCAGGAGGGGUAGGCGGAAUUCCUGGUGUAGCGGUGAAAUGCGUAGAGAUUAGGAGGAACACCGGUGGCGAAGGCGGCUUACUGGACUGUAACUGACGUUGAGGCUCGAAAGCGUGGGGAGCAAACAGGAUUAGAUACCCUAGUAGUC
rnacentral:rRNA from 1 species